CUGGGCGUGGUCGAGCAGGAGGGGCGGCUGCCCGGCGGGGAGCCGGGGGCCGUCGUGCGCGGCGUCGCCCGCGUCCGGAUCGGGACCGGGACGACCGGGCC
rnacentral:tRNA from 1 species